rnacentral:tRNA from 1 species
GGGGUUGUGACUCAGUGGUAGAGCACUCGCCUAGCAUGUGCGAGGCCCUGGGUUUGAUCCUCAGCACCACA